rnacentral:tRNA from 1 species
GGCCUAUUAGCUCAGUUGGUUAGAGCGUCGUGCUAAUAACGUGAAGGUCGCAGGUUAGAAACCUGCAUGGGCCA